rnacentral:lncRNA from 1 species
AUUUUACAAAAGAUUUGAAUCCUGGAGAGUUCUGGACAGCCUGUACCACGGGACCACUGGCAUCCUGUACAUGAGCGCUGCCGUCCUACAAGUACAUGCCACGAUUGUUUCUGAGAAACUGCUGGACCCAAGAAUUUACUACAUUAAUUCGGCAGCCUCGUUCUUCGCCUUCAUCGCCACGCUGCUCUACAUUCUCCAUGCCUUCAGCAUCUAUUACCACUGAUGCACAGGCGCCAGGCCAAGGGGGAAAUGCUCUUUGAAAGCUCCAAUUAUUGGUCCCCAAAAGCAGCUUCCAACGUUUGCCAUCUGGAUGACAAACGGAAGAUCCACUAAAACGUCCACGGGAUUAACAGAACGUCCUUGCAGACUGAGCGAUGACACCACACUUUGUUUGGACAUUUAAAUUCACUCUGCUGAAUAGGAGGAAGCUUUUCUUUUUCCUGGGAAAACAACUGUCUCUUGGAAUUAUCUGACCAUGAACUUGCUCUUCUAGACAACUCACAUCAAAGCCCUCACUCCACUAAUGGAGAAUCCUAGCCCCACUAAUGCCAAGUCUGUUUGGGGAUUUUGCCUCAGCUAUGGGCUUCCCUAGAGUAGGUCUAGGGGAAUACUCAGUCUGAUCUUUUUUUUGUUUGUUUUAUUUUGUUUUUUUUGAGACGGAGUCUCGCUCUUCCUCCAAGGCUGGAGUGCAGUGACGCGAUCUCCACUCACUGCAGGCUCCGCCUCCCGGGUUCCCGCCAUUCUCCUGCCUCAGCCUCCCGAGUAGCCGGGACUACAGGCGCCCACCACCGUGCCCGGCUAAUUUAGUUGUAUUUUUAGUAGAGAUGGGGUUUCACCGUAUUAGCCAGGAUGGUCUCGAUCUCCUGACCUCGUGAUCCGCCCGCCUCGGCCUCCCAAAGUGCUGGGAUUACAGGCGUGAGCCACCGCGCCCGGCCUGAUUCUCUUAAAAUUGAAGAGGUGCUGCCAAGGCCUUCAGAUCUAACGCAGAUGCAUAGACCUUGUUCCUGGUACUUGUUCAGCCUGUGCUGGGGAGCCGUGGUCCCGAGUUCCCUGGGAGGCUGACAGGGUCAAGCCACCCUGCCCACCACCCUCCCACUUCCCCUCCCCUUUCCUCUCCAGCAUUAGGAUUCAAGGGAAAUUUGCAUGAAGCCAAUUUUGAGGGUAGACGUGUGGGGAAAAUAAAUCAUUAUACAGUAAGACCUGGGGCUUGAGGGGUGGGGAAUGGGGAGGGAAGGGCAUAGCCUGCUCCUCCAUGAGUCUGACAUCUCGGAAACUGAGCAGCUGCCGGACGCCUGGGUCAGGAAUCCAAGACCCCACCUCUUAAGGACUGGUUCCUCAGAAAGCACCCUCAGGGAAAAAGGUGAAAACAUUACAUCCGUGGAUUCUCCUGCCACAACCGCAUUGGAAGAAAAGGCUGCCGCAACAUCUCAGCGAGGAGUGAAGGACCCAUGUCCCAGGAACCGCGCUGCGCCACCUGCACUCACCCCCCUCACAUUCUCUUAAGCACCCGGUGGCCCUCCGAGGCCUGGCGGAAUGGUGGUGCCCACGGGGUUGGGCAAGGGCUCACCAGGACCUCAACGGGCAAAGUUGUGCACACUAAAAUAUCAAAUCAAGGUGCUUGGUUUUAAAGUAAAUGUUUUUCUAAAGAAAGCUGUGCUCUUCUGUUGACCCAGACGAAUAGGGCACAGCCCUGUAACUGCACGUGCCUUCUGUCAUUGGGAAUGAAAUAAAUUAUUACGAGAAAGGGACUUGUCCUAACUGGUUUGAGGCCUUACAGUUUUGUAUCUACAUUUUUCCCCUCCUGGGGUUUGCGGGGACAGGGACAGAACUACAGGAGUCAUGGGAAAGAAAAUUCUGGCUUCACUACUGCUCACUGCUCACUUUCUGAUCACUCUGAUACUUUUUUUUUUUUUUUUUUUUUUGCAACCUGAUACCUUGAAAAGCUUCUAUGUGUCUCUCCUUUUGUUGCCUGGCAGCUGUCUAGGAUGAUCACUGAUUACUAUUUACUAAGUAGCCACAUGCAAAUAAAAGUUGUUUGGUAAAAAGG